rnacentral:lncRNA from 1 species
AAAAAACUUUUCAAAAUCCAAACCUGGCACACAAAAAAAAAUAAAAUUCCUUUUCAAAUCGUUCGCCCUCCUCUCGCCCCCAAAAAAAAAUUACUCGAUCAAACAAAUUUAAUCUCUUAUAUAUUAUUUUAAUCUCUUAUUUACUUAAUUUAUUUUUUAUUUUGAGGCAUAAUAUAGUUUGCUAUUUUUACUUAAUUAGCUUAAUUUUGUAGUUUUUUUAUAUUCUUAAGAAAUAUGAGUAAUUAUGCUAAAAGCAUAAAUUUUGAGAGAAAAUUUUUUUAAUUUAAUAGCCGAAUUUUUUAUCCCGAAUUUUUAAUUAGUGAACGUAUAAUAUCCGUAUGAACCACGUAUCCGAGUAAUUAGUAGAUUCAUUUUUUAACCGUAUUUUUCAACGAAUUUAAAAUUAGAAGAGAAAUUUUAUCCGAAUUAUAUCCGUACCGAAUUUUUACCGAAUCCGAAUUAACUAACUAUAAUUCCAACAGCAUAAAUAAAGCAUAAAGUAAUUCUCAAAAAA